ACUCCUGCGGGAGGCAGCAGUGGGGAAUAUUGCACAAUGGGCGCAAGCCUGAUGCAGCCAUGCCGCGUGUAUGAAGAAGGCCUUCGGGUUGUAAAGUACUUUCAGCGGGGAGGAAGGCAAUACGGUUAAUAACCGUGUUGAUUGACGUUACCCGCAGAAGAAGCACCGGCUAACUCCGUGCCAGCAGCCGCGGUAAUACGGAGGGUGCAAGCGUUAAUCGGAAUUACUGGGCGUAAAGCGCACGCAGGCGGUCUGUCAAGUCGGAUGUGAAAUCCCCGGGCUCAACCUGGGAACUGCAUUCGAAACUGGCAGGCUUGAGUCUUGUAGAGGGGGGUAGAAUUCCAGGUGUAGCGGUGAAAUGCGUAGAGAUCUGGAGGAAUACCGGUGGCGAAGGCGGCCCCCUGGACAAAGACUGACGCUCAGGUGCGAAAGCGUGGGGAGCAAACAGGAUUAGAAACCCGAGUAGUCCCAU
rnacentral:rRNA from 1 species